rnacentral:rRNA from 1 species
AGGACGAACGCUGGCGGCGUGCUUCACACAUGCAAGUCGAGCGGAAAGGCCCUUCGGGGUACUCGAGCGGCGAACGGGUGAGUAACACGUGAGUAACCUGCCCUUAGCACCGGGAUAGCUCCGGGAAACCGGAAUUAAUACCGGAUAUGACCACGAUCGGCAUCGGUCGUGGUGGAAAGGAUUCCGGCUAGGGAUGGACUCGCGGCCUAUCAGCUAGUUGGUUGGGUAACGCCCACCAAGGCGACGACGGGUAGCCGGCCUGAGAGGGCGACCGGCCACGACUGGGACUGAGACACGGCCCAGACUCCUACGGGAGGCAGCAGUGGGGAAUAUUGCGCAAUGGGCGAAAGCCUGACGCAGCGACGCCGCGUGAGGGAUGAAGGCCUUCGGGUUGUAAACCUCUUUCAGCAGGGACGAAGCGCAAGUGACGGUACCUGCAGAAGAAGCGCCGGCUAACUACGUGCCAGCAGCCGC